CUUCAUAACUAAAGAUAAUAUAAUAAAUACAUCAAUCUGCUUCAUAUUAAGCAUAGAUCAAUCAUUUUAAAGAAAUUAAUUUUACUCGAGACAAAAUAUUAUUUUUCAAAAACCGCGCGCAUUUUACAGUCAGUCACAUCCGCCCCUCCCCCACAGCUCACAGUCACGGACGGGAUCACAGCCGGACGGCUCGCGACGCGGUCACGGAAAAUAAUAGCUGACAGGAUGUCGUCAUCUCUAACCGUCACUCGCGCCACAGUUCUCAAGCAAGGGACAAUAAUGGCAUCAGCCAUUCAAGUUAUGAUCCUGGCAGAUCUACUACUAUCUGAAAAGUAGUCUCUGCAGAUAUUGUCAAGAUGCACAAGAUGGAGCGUGGAGAGACGGGACAUGGACCACAGUUUUCAGCACCCACACCCCACACUCAAAUUCAUAUAGAAGUCCUCAAUUAUUAAAUGUUAAUAUGAUAGUUUAUAUUUAGCUGUGAAGUUAUAGUUCAUUGUCAUAAAUAUUAAACUACAUAUUAUUAUUAUUAUUAUUUUACAUGAUAUGCAAAUUUCACCAAUUUGUUCAAUGUGUUAAUGAACUUUUUGAAAGUGAUUAUCUUUAAUAAUUCAGAUACCUGUUGAAAUGCACAUGUAAUUAUAUACUUGCUCGUAUCUGGAAGGUUGUGUUAAUAAAAAUGAUGUUGAAAGCAAAUGUUGCAAUACUGCUAAUCUUAAAAUAACAUUUUAUUAAACUAAACUUUGUAAUGUUCCAAAUAAAUGUUUUUAGGAUGUUGUAUUUUUAAGAAAAUGUAGGUGGAAAUAAAGUUGUAGGAACAUUAUGCUAACCAUAAAAUAACGUUCUAGCUACGUUAAGCAAACUGGACAUUUUAACGUUCUUGGAAUGUUCCAAAUAAACGUUCAUAGAACAUUAUAUUUUUAGUGAAAUUUAGGUUGCAAGAACGUUGUAGGAAUGUUAUGCUAACAAAAAAAUAACGUUCUAGGAACAUUAAGCAAA